rnacentral:rRNA from 1 species
CCUUCGGGUUGUAAACUGCUUUUGUACGGAACGAAAAGCUUUGGGUUAAUACCCUGGAGUCAUGACGGUACCGUAAGAAUAAGCACCGGCUAACUACGUGCCAGCAGCCGCGGUAAUACGUAGGGUGCAAGCGUUAAUCGGAAUUACUGGGCGUAAAGCGUGCGCAGGCGGUUUUGUAAGACAGAGGUGAAAUCCCCGGGCUCAACCUGGGAACUGCCUUUGUGACUGCAAGGCUAGAGUACGGCAGAGGGGGGUGGAAUUCCGCGUGUAGCAGUGAAAUGCGUAGAUAUGCGGAGGAACACCGAUGGCGAAGGCAACCCCCUGGGCCUGUACUGACGCUCAUGCACGAAAGCGUGGGGAGCAAACAGGAUUAGAUACCCUGGUAGUCCACGCCCUAAACGAUGUCAACUGGUUGUUGGGUCUUAACUGACUCAGUAACGAAGCUAACGCGUGAAGUUGACCGCCUGGGGAGUACGGCCGCAAGGUUGAAACUCAAANGAAUUGACGG